UCAGGUACCCAGGACUGGAAGCAGAUGAUCUUCUUUCUGAUAAAUUGUCAGAAAGCCGUAGUAGCCUGAUUCUGCAUCACGACGCCUGUGUCCUUCACUUCACUUCGUCCCGUUGUGUGGGCAUUUAUCAUCUCCCAUCAGCACGAGAAGGGUUGCUUUCAUCCUGUUUGUUUUGGUGCCUCUCUUCAGUGUUGAAGGUUUUCCUCCGACGGGAGGUACUCCUUAGCCCUACUGUCUAUGAAAUAUGAAAGGACUUAUUGGAAGCUUUGAGCACAUGAGGACUGUCUACUUGGAGCUUCAGAGCAGGAGUUUCCUGCGUUGACCACACACCAGGCCCUCUGCUGGAAUCUGAAAACACAGAUGUGUUGAGGACAUCAUCACGGAUAUAGAUUAAGCAGAAGAGAUGGACGUGCUCAGGAGAACAAAAUGCAAGUCCAUGGUCCCUCACCCCAAAUCCUUGGAGGUCAAUGGGUUUUGGAUCUCAAAACUUAUCAGAUUCUGGAAAGAUAAUAAUACCAUUAAUCUCAUUGCACCCCUGUGGGCCUG